CCAUUUUCUUGGAAGCCCUACUGGAAAGACAGAAAUGUCCUUGGUGAUACUGGUGAAGUGCUGGAUCAGGCCUUACCUGAAGUGAGAUUACUUCUGGACUUUGUCAUUAGGGAAUACAAUAAAUCUUUUUGCAUCAUUUAAGCCAUUAAUUUGUAUCAUUAGUCUUUUUGUAUCAUUUAAGUUGAAUCAGGCUUUCUAUUACUUGGAACCAACAUCCUAACUGAUUCCACGGUUUUAUUCAUUUAUUUGUUGAUUCGUCAGAUAUUGAAUACUUACUCCAUGCCAAGCACUGUUUCAGGUGCUGCUGUUAUAACAGUAAACAAACCCCUCAAAAGCCCUGUCCUCAUGGAGCUUACGUUCUAGUGGGGAAGGUGGGUGAUAAGAAAAUAAAUAUUGAUGAUAAGCUUGAGGGGAGGAGGGCUGGAGAGGGACAGAGCUACCAUUUUAGGUGGAGGAGUCAAAUAAGACAUCUUUGAGAAAGUGUCGAUGGAAGAGGACCUGACACAAAGGGAGGAAGCCAGCUGUGUGUAUAUUUUGGGAAGAAGGACAUUCCAAGUAGAAAAAACAGCGAGUUCAAAGGCCCUGAGGUCAGCUUGGUGUGUUGGAGGAGUGAACUGGGCCGGAGUGAGCAGCUGGGAGGGGUGGAGCCGAGGGCCAGGCACGCAGGGCUGGCUGGGCCGCCAGAGGACUUGCAGUGGCUUCUCAGUGAAAGGACAGGCAGUCGGAGCCUUCUGAACUCCACAGUGCUGCGGUCUCGCGUCGCCAGCUGCUGUGUGGGCUCCAGGCUGGAGCGGGACUCCAGUGUGGAGGCUGCCACACUAGUGCAGCUGAGGGACGGUGGCGGCCUGGCCGCAGUGGCCGCGGUGGAGGUGGGGAGACACGGUCGGAGACUGAAUGUAGUUUGAAGGAAGAGUGGGCAGGAUUGGGGGGCAUAGGCGUGGGGUGCGGAGGGGGAGUCAGCGACCCUUAGGCGUUUAGCCUGCGCCGGGAAGGAAGGAGGCCAGGAGCCGCGGAAGACUAGGGCUGUGGUGUGAGCCUCCCAGUGGCCUCGCUGGGCCCGCAGGGCGGCCUACGACGCUGGCAUUCAGGGCCCAGGUCUGGGCUGGAGAUGCAGAUUGGGAGUCACUUUCAUCUUCGUAGCGUUAAGGCCCAGGAUGAGGUUACUAAGGAGGGGAGUGUAGAUGGAAACGAGGUCAGGGAGUGGGAGCAGGGGCCCGCGAGGCGGUGCUGGAGCGAUCCAGGAGAGAGAUGGCAGUGGCCUGGAGCAGGGCGGGGCAAGAGGGGCAGUCGUCGGGAGAUGCUGCGAGGGCAGGUCCCCAGCAGCCUGAUGGUGGGUGAGGACGGUCGGCUGGACGAGGGCCUCGUGAGAAUGGGACAGCGUUGGGACAUGGGGCAGGGGCUCUGCUUUCCUCCUUCCCUGGGCUCUGUGCUCUCCGCCUCUCGGGGCCUCUGCUGCUUCCUCUGUUUGCAGGCAACUGGCCUGGCCCCGGGUGGACUCCUGCCUCGACUCUGGGUGCCCCUCCAGUGCUGUGCCCCACAGCCCCUCUGUCCCCAUUUGAAAUUCCUCAGACAGGAGUCGCACAGCCGGGGUGCUCAACCUGCUGUAGCUGGAGGAUUCCCGCAGUGACGUCUCAAAUAGUCGCAGUCACAAAGCAUUGCUGACAGGCCAUUUACAUAGCCUCAGAUGCGCCCUGCCUUGGGUGGCUGGGGGCGGGGAGCCCAGGAAGGUGGGCUCCAGCGGCACU
ensembl:lncRNA